rnacentral:rRNA from 1 species
GUGGGGAAUAUUGGACAAUGGGGGGAACCCUGAUCCAGCCAUGCCGCGUGUGUGAAGAAGGCCUUUUGGUUGUAAAGCACUUUAAGCGAGGAGGAGGCUACCGAGAUUAAUACUCUUGGAUAGUGGACGUUACUCGCAGAAUAAGCACCGGCUAACUCUGUGCCAGCAGCCGCGGUAAUACAGAGGGUGCAAGCGUUAAUCGGAUUUACUGGGCGUAAAGCGCGCGUAGGUGGCCAAUUAAGUCAAAUGUGAAAUCCCCGAGCUUAACUUGGGAAUUGCAUUCGAUACUGGUUGGCUAGAGGAUGGGAGAGGAUGGUAGAAUUCCAGGUGUAGCGGUGAAAUGCGUAGAGAUCUGGAGGAAUACCGAUGGCGAAGGCAGCCAUCUGGCCUAAUACUGACACUGAGGUGCGAAAGCAUGGGGAGCAAACAGGAUUAGAUACCCGAGUAGUCC